CGAACUCUGGUAUUGAUUGGUGCUUGCAUCAUGAUUUACAUUUGAGUGAGUGGCGAACUGGUGAGUAACACGUGGGAAACCUGCCCAGAAGCGGGGGAUAACACCUGGAAACAGAUGCUAAUACCGCAUAACAACUUGGACCGCAUGGUCCGAGUUUGAAAGAUGGCUUCGGCUAUCACUUUUGGAUGGUCCCGCGGCGUAUUAGCUAGAUGGUGGGGUAACGGCUCACCAUGGCAAUGAUACGUAGCCGACCUGAGAGGGUAAUCGGCCACAUUGGGACUGAGACACGGCCCAAACUCCUACGGGAGGCAGCAGUAGGGAAUCUUCCACAAUGGACGAAAGUCUGAUGGAGCAACGCCGCGUGAGUGAAGAAGGGUUUCGGCUCGUAAAACUCUGUUGUUAAAGAAGAACAUAUCUGAGAGUAACUGUUCAGGUAUUGACGGUAUUUAACCAGAAAGCCACGGCUAACUACGUGCCAGCAGCCGCGGUAAUACGUAGGUGGCAAGCGUUGUCCGGAUUUAUUGGGCGUAAAGCGAGCGCAGGCGGUUUUUUAAGUCUGAUGUGAAAGCCUUCGGCUCAACCGAAGAAGUGCAUCGGAAACUGGGAAACUUGAGUGCAGAAGAGGACAGUGGAACUCCAUGUGUAGCGGUGAAAUGCGUAGAUAUAUGGAAGAACACCAGUGGCGAAAGCGGCUGUCUGGUCUGUAACUGACGCUGAGGCUCGAAAGUAUGGGUAGCAACAGGAUUAGAUACCCUGGUAGUCCAUACCGUAACGAUGAUGCUAGUGUGGAGGUUUCGCCCUCAGUGCUGCAGCUACGCAUAAGCAUUCCGCCUGGGGAGUACG
rnacentral:rRNA from 2 species